AGAGAGUAAACAGUACGUGAAACCGCAUGCAGGUAAACGGGUGGCGUCAAGCUGCAAGCCCGGAGGAUUCAGCUGACUAGGAUGUUGUGUAUGCGCCUGGCGCAUCUAUCAGUCGGAGUAGGGCGUGGUAGUCCACUGGGAUACGGUGGGCCCGGCCGCAAGGUUGGGUAUGUGUACCGGGUGUUAGCCGGAGCAUGCUAUCCGUCUGUCGGACUGUCUAGUCAGUGCACUUUCUCUGUGGUGAACACCACGACCGGUGGUAUUGCCAGUCUGCCGUAGCCAAGUCGUAUUCAGUGGGUUCUUGUAAUCAACUGGGUGCGAUCACAGGCAAACUCAGUAAACGGCGUGGGGUUGCUUCGGCAUCUCCACGUGCUAUCGGCUACUGGUUGUCAACGGGUCGGCCUGAUGAUUGUUGUAAUCGUCAUUGGGUGAUCUGGUGGGCUAUGGUGGUAUGAAUAACUGUGCAAGGCACCGGAGUUCUCGGCCUCAAAUGCAUCCUGCGCACACAUUACAAGUGGAGCGGGGUGCCAUUGCAACCUGCCUGUCGUUGGGUCUGAUUGUCGUGUCGCCUGCGAAAAGUGGGCCCGGCAGUGGCCUGACGUGGGAUGGGUCGUGGAUGGUGCCUCCUGUGUGGGGUGCUGUUGGCCAAAUAGUCAGUGGUGUAGUGGUAGACGAGCUACCCGACCCGUCUUGAAACACGGACCA
rnacentral:rRNA from 1 species